UUCCGGUUGAUCCUGCCGGAGGUCACUGCUAUUGGGAUUCGACUAAGCCAUGUGAGUCGAGAGGGUUCGGCCCUCGGCUGACGGCUCAGUAACACGUGGAUAAUCUGCCCUUAGGUGGAGGAUAACCUCGGGAAACUGAGAAUAAUACUCCAUAGAUCUAGAAGGCUGGAAUGCAUCUAGAUUAAAAGCCCUGGCGCCUAAGGAUGAGUCCGCGGACUAUCAGGUUGUAGUCAGGGUAAUGACCUGACUAGCCUACGACGGAUACGGGUUGUGAGAGCAAUAACCCGGAGACGAUAUCUGAGACACGAUAUCGGGCCCUACGGGGCGCAGCAGGCGCGAAAACUUCACACUGUGCGAAAGCACGAUGAGGGGAUCCCAAGUGCUGGUUCGAAAGAGUCAGCUGUUUCUUUGUCUAAAAAACAUAGAGAGUAAGAGCUGGGUAAGACGGGUGCCAGCCGCCGCGGUAAUACCUGCAGCUCGAGUGGUGGCCACUAUUAUUGGGCCUAAAACGUCCGUAGCCGGUUUAGUAAAUGCUUGGGUAAAUUGUGUAGCUUAACUAUACGAAUUCCGGGUAGACUGCUAGGCUUGAGAUCGGGAGAGGCUAGAGGUACUCCUGGGGUAGAGGUGAAAUUCUGUAAUCCUAGGGGGACCACCAGUGGCGAAGGCGUCUAGCUAGAACGAGUCUGACGGUGAGGGACGAAGCCCUGGGGCGCAAACCGGAUUAGAUACCCGGGUAGUCCAGGGUGUAAACGCUGCUUGCUUGAUGUUAGUUGGGCUCCGAGCCCAACUAGUCUCGGAGAGAAGUUGUUAAGCAAGCUGCCUGGGAAGUACGAUCGCAAGAUUGAAACUUAAAGGAAUUGGCGGGGGAGCACAGCAUCGGGUGGAGCGUGCGGUUUAAUUGGACUCAACGCCGGAAAUC
rnacentral:rRNA from 1 species